rnacentral:rRNA from 1 species
CUUGUUGGUGGGGUAGUGGCCUACCAAGACGACGACGGGUAGCCGGCCUGAGAGGGUGACCGGCCACACUGGGACUGAGACACGGCCCAGACUCCUACGGGAGGCAGCAGUGGGGAAUAUUGCACAAUGGGCGAAAGCCUGAUGCAGCGACGCCGCGUGAGGGAUGACGGCCUUCGGGUUGUAAACCUCUUUCAGCAGGGAAGAAGCGAAAGUGACGGUACCUGCAGAAGAAGCACCGGCUAACUACGUGCCAGCAGCCGCGGUAAUACGUAGGGUGCAAGCGUUGUCCGGAAUUAUUGGGCGUAAAGAGCUCGUAGGCGGCCUGUCGCGUCGAUUGUGAAAGCCCAGGGCUUAACCCUGGGUCUGCAGUCGAUACGGGCAGGCUAGAGUUCGGUAGGGGAGAUCGGAAUUCCUGGUGUAGCGGUGAAAUGCGCAGAUAUCAGGAGGAACACCGGUGGCGAAGGCGGAUCUCUGGGCCGUAACUGACGCUGAGGAGCGAAAGCGUGGGGAGCGAACAGGAUUAGAUACCCUGGUAGUCCACGCCGUAAACGGUGGGCACUAGGUGUGGGCAACAUG